UAGCAAAAGAAUUAAGACAUUGGAGGG
rnacentral:piRNA from 1 species